rnacentral:rRNA from 1 species
CUCUCUCUCUCUCGUCAUCGCCAGCGUCAUGGCGUCAUCCGUCGCCACUGGCGAGAUCGCGGUCCGCCACCUCGAACGGCGCCGCGGAACCAAUCUUCCCCAUCGCACGCGCCGUUCAUCGCCUCCUCGAAGUUCGUCAGCCUUGCCGUGCAACGCUAUCUCCAAUUACUCGUCGUCCGCCUCCCUUUGCCAUCAUCCUCGGCCUCGUCCUGCUGGCCGUCCAACUUCGCCCCGAUGAAGCGAAACUGGUAUAUGGUGUACACCGGGAGGAAUCCAUGAGUUUAUGAUUCAUGGGAGAAAUGCAAUGAACAAGUGAACGGUUACAAGAACAACUGCUAUAAAGGAUAUAUGACUAAAAAGGAAGCAGAGGAUCGUUACGCCAACUAGGUCCGCAAAAAUAAAAUCAACUAUGAAGUAUGCUAGACCGUGUGGAGAAGUGAACGAGUAAAAAAAAUCAUUAUUUUUAUCCAGUUCAUUGUCAUUAUGGUGUUGUUGUUAUCAUGACGUCUUGUAUGUGUGUAGCAUGCCGGAGGCUUUGCUAAGUAGGCUACGUGUACUAAUGAUGUCACGCAAGUUGUUGUACUCUAAUGCAUACUUCUAUUUGUAUUGUAUUUGGAUUAUUAUUGUUAUGCU